GGGCGGUUGGCGCAAUGGUAGCGCGUUGGUUUUCGGUCAGAAGAUUCACCAAAGGUUGUGGGUUCGAGCCCCAUGCUGCUCG
rnacentral:tRNA from 1 species